GAAUUACUGUGGGCAUAUCUACACACCAAUAUCCUGUAAAAUACGAAGUUAAACCGAAUUUAACAGAGAGAAUUCAGGACUAUGACGUGUCUCUUGAUAAAGCCCUUGAUGAACUAAUGGAUGGUGACAUCAUAGUAUUUCAGAAGGAUGACCCUGAAAAUGAUAACAGUGAAUUACCCACCGCAAAGGAGUAUUUCCGAGAUCUCUACCACCGCGUUGAUGUCAUUUUCUGUGAUAAAACAAUCCCUAAUGAUCCUGGAUUUGUGGUUACGUUAUCAAAUAGAAUGAAUUAUUUUCAGGUUGCAAAGACAGU
rnacentral:lncRNA from 1 species